rnacentral:rRNA from 1 species
AACGAACGCUGGCGGCAGGCCUAACACAUGCAAGUCGAACGGAUGUAGCAAUACAUUAGUGGCGCACGGGUGAGUAACGCGUGGGAACGUGCCCUUGGGUGCGGAAUAACACAGGGAAACUUGUGCUAAUACCGCAUAAUAUCUUCGGAUCAAAGAUUUAUCGCCCAAGGAUCGGCCCGCGUCUGAUUAGGUAGUUGGUGAGGUAAUGGCUCACCAAGCCUACGAUCAGUAGCUGGUCUGAGAGGAUGAUCCGCCACACUGGAACUGAGACACGGCCCAGACUCCUACGGGAGGCAGCAGUGGGGAAUAUUGGGCAAUGGGCGAAAGCCUGACCCAGCAACGCCGCGUGAAGGAUGAAGGUCUUCGGAUUGUAAACUUCUUUGAUUAGGGAAGAAUUUUUGACCUACCUAAAGAACAAGUCACGGCUAACUACGUGCCAGCAGCCGCGGUAAACUUAUCGU